rnacentral:rRNA from 1 species
UACGUAGGGGGCAAGCGUUGUCCGGAUUUACUGGGCGUAAAGAGCGUGUAGGCGGCCACGCAGGUCCGUUGUGAAAACUGGAGGCUCAACUUCCAGCCGUCGACGGAAACCGUGUGGCUAGAGUCCGGAAGAGGAGAGUGGAAUUCCUGGUGUAGCGGUGAAAUGCGCAGAUAUCAGGAAGAACACCCGUGGCGAAGGCGGCUCUCUGGAACGCAACUGACGCUGAGACGCGAAAGCGUGGGGAGCAAACAGG